rnacentral:rRNA from 1 species
AUUGAACGCUGGCGGCAUGCCUUACACAUGCAAGUCGAACGGUAACAGGUCUUCGGAUGCUGACGAGUGGCGAACGGGUGAGUAAUACAUCGGAACGUGCCCGAUCGUGGGGGAUAACGGAGCGAAAGCUUUGCUAAUACCGCAUACGAUCUACGGAUGAAAGCAGGGGACCGCAAGGCCUUGCGCGAACGGAGCGGCCGAUGGCAGAUUAGGUAGUUGGUGGGAUAAAAGCUUACCAAGCCGACGAUCUGUAGCUGGUCUGAGAGGACGACCAGCCACACUGGGACUGAGACACGGCCCAGACUCCUACGGGAGGCAGCAGUGGGGAAUUUUGGACAAUGGGCGCAGGCCUGAUCCAGCAAUGCCGCGUGCAGGAUGAAGGCCUUCGGGUUAUAGACUGCUUUUGUACGGAACGAAAAGGCUCUGGUUAAUACCUGGGGCUCAUGACGGUACCGUAAGAAUAAGCACCGGCUAACUACGUGCCAGCCGCCGCCGUAAGAC